CCCUGCAACUGCUGUAAUUGACACUUUAUAAAAAUGUAACUUUGAAGCAGUUGACUAGUACCCCGACUGAAUAAUUGAAGAAAUGUUUGCUGGGAUUGUGCUGGAGUGCUAGCAGCUGUGGCUGCUUUGAUAUUUAUAAGCGGGAUAAAUUUUUUUUUCCCUUUUAGGAAAAAAACCUUUCAGAGUCAUUUUAGUCCGGCUCCAUCAUCAAAGUUCAGGAUGGGGUAAUGGAAGCAAUGAAUUGGUUCUAGCUCUUUCCUGGAAGCAAGUAAACAUCUCAGCGAGUGACUUUUAGGCAACAUUAGGAUUUCUGUAAACAAAGGUAUUUAGAAAACCACACAUCUGCUAACGUAAUCUGAGCCAUAGUGCUCCAACUGAUGUGGAGUAACUUAAGGGGUUAGUUGAAGGUUGGGCAACCUGGAACUUUGUGUCCCUCCCAAGUGAUGUCAGUCUGGGGCGCCUACCUUCCCAGGAUGGAGCUGGGACCAGGGCGCAUGCUCAGACCCCCGCCGGGGUUGUCUAUCUGAGGUGGGUACCACCCACUUCCUUAGAGAGGUGGACGCCGGCUCUCUCCACCACAGACCCCGCUUAGGGGUGUUGCACAUUUCCCGUCUCCCACCGCGGAUGGCUCUCACUCAGAGACAGAAGUACAGAGAGGUAAAGACAGACAGAGAGAGGUCUUCCAGCUGCUGGUUCACUCCCCAGAUGGCCACAACGGCGGAGCUGCACCAAUCCGAAGUCAGGAGCCAGGAGCCUCCUCCGGGUCUCACAUGUGGAUGCAGGGGCCCAAAGGCUUGGACCAUCUUCGUGCCUUCCCAGGACAAAGCAGAGAGCUGGACAGGAAGAGGAGCAGCCGGGACCAGAACCGGCGCCCACAUGGGAUGCUGGCGCCUCAGGUAGAGUUAAGGACAGUGAGAGAGAGAGCCAUGGAGAGAAAGGUCUUCCUUCCGUGGUUCACUCCCCUAAUGGACGUUACGGCCGAGUCACAUAUUCUUUCUUCUGCAUCACCAGGUCUGUAAGUCUUUCCACUGUAUUUUGUAUUUGGGAGGCAGGCAGUGUGCUCUCUGUGCAUGGGGCCCGGGGCUAGGUGCGCACUCUGCCUCCCGCCUGUGCUGCAGGCUGGAGUCAAGCGUGGUCUGCAAGGUUCUCUCUGGGGCAGUAUCAGCAGUGCCAGGGGUUGCCGCAGGCUCCUUUCAUUUCUCAGAAGCUGGCGUCUCCUCCUGACUGCUGCAUGUAUGGUGCUCUGUGGGAGUGGGGGAGGGGAAGGGAGCAGGGGACUCCCUGCUCCACGCCUGGCAGGGCUGGGACCCAGUCAGCUCCCCAGGCUGCAGUCCAUGUCAGGGGUGACUGUGGAAUUCCUCUCAGCUGAAACUGAGCGCUGGGGAGUGCACACUCUCUUCCCACCUUGACUUGGUAAGAUGGUGGCUCAGAGCUGGCAAGCUGGCUGUGCUGCACGGCUUGCUGCAGCAGUGUCUGUCUCCUCUUGUCCCGGGGAAUCUUCACUGUGUUGUCACUUCUCUGCAGAAAAUUUCCACCAGGCAGGCCCCUGGACAUGUCCUUCCUUUGUUCUUAUCCCACGCUAAAGUCAGUGUGGAUCGACCCUGUUGAGUCAUCUGGGAUCUCCCACCUCUGUGUUCCUUUUGGUUCCUGGUCUGUGAAAGGAAUAAUAAUAAUAAUAAUAGUAACAUGACCUCAUGGAGUUGUUGUGGAUGAAAAUGUGUUGGCUGUGUAUAUGUAAUGAGUUAAUCUAUGUGGGAUACUUUGAACAGUUCCUAAUGCACAGGGUAUGUUUAGUAAGUGGAGCAGCCAGGACUAGAACAGGCAUCCAUAUGGGAUGCCGGCGCCUCAGGCAGAAGAUUAACCUACUGCAUCACAGUAGGUGAUGAGUAACAUCCAUGGAAAGGGUAUGCAGGGUGGAUAGCCUGGCUACUGCUCAUGGGGCACACUGCCCACUCUUGCUCUCUGUGGGUGCCCAAAUCUGCUGAGUGCUGCCUUCCCCAAGAGUCUUCUGCGUUCACUUCAAUCACUUUUGUGUUUCCUUUCUGGUUGUACUUUAGUCAGCUCUUUGAUCCCUGAAACAGACUCUCAGGCAGAAAGGCAGAGGAGACUUUAAGCAGUGUUCUGGAACAUGUACCUGAUGGCACAGGGGAGGCUGCCAUUGAACUGGAACCUCUGUUGGUAUCCCAGACACUCUGGCAGCAAUGGCCUUUGACAUUGUCUCAUACUGAAGCAAAGGGGCUGGGUCUUGGGGCUGCAUCAUAUAGUUAUUGGCUCUGUGCCACCUCCAUAGAGGGCUUGUGAGCUUGGACCACAGAGAUCCCUUGAGGGAGUGGAGUCCAGUAAAGGGCCCAGCAUGAGCUUCCAACAGCCCAUGUCCUCAGCAUCUGGGCAAGGGAGGCAUCAGCUCUGCAGUGGGGACCUGAGUGGAGUAAGUGGUGUUCACUGUGCUUAAUUUAAUUCAUUCCUACUUAACGUGUCAGUGAAUGUAAAAAGAAAAAGUCAUUCCAAUAAAGAUGAAGUUAGGUGUCUUGGAAAGACUCACUAAAGUGAACUAAUGGCUAAGGAACAUGUAGCUAAAAACAUUGUGCAUAGGCAACUACAAACAACCAGGGAACAAAUGGAAAUGUCGGAAAGGACUUCUACUCACAUUUUUAUGAUUAUCUUUAAUACUUGUUCCAUUGGUCAGAUUUGACAUUUGUGUGCUGUAGUUGAUUCACGUGCUUGUGGUUUAUAAUGAAGGAUACCACGGAACUGUGCUCACCUAGCUCAUGAAAAGAUUGAAGAUAAAUGUGUGUGUUUUAUUUUAUAUUACAUAUAUGCAAAUCGUUUGAAUCAUAAUUUUCCUCUUUCCCAAACCUUUUAUUUUCCACCCUGUGAAUACAGUUCUGCAAGGACUUUUACAAGUUUCCAAGCCAGCUCAGUAAAUCUACAAAUCACAUUUUCACUGAUCAAAUUACAGAUGACUGUGUGGAACUGCUGGGGGGACCUGCCUACUCCCCCAGAUUCCUAGAAUGUGAUGUCAUUAUGCACGGGUGAACCUCCUCUUCAUCUGUGACCAUGAACUUGGUGUUUCUGGAACAUGGCUCGUGUAGACUGUCUCGUCUGCUUCUGCCUGGGACAUGGUUCCAGGGGCAACUGGAUGGUGUCCUUGUCUGGGCAACAAGGUGCAGAGCUGAGGUGCACUGUGCUCACACCACUGGAUAGACACUUUCUGUCUUCACAGCUCUGUGCUUCCCUGCUCAGCAGGUGCACCGAUUUUGUCACGGUCUAAGGCUGUCUCCCUCUCCCCUCCUGAUCUUCUUUGAUUUAAGGGUAAAGUUUUUUUUUUUUUUAAUUUACUAACUCAUUUAUUCAUUCAACGGAGUCUCUGACAGCUGGGUUCAAGUAUGGGUGCAGGUGUUUGGGCUUCUGUAGUGAUCAAAACAGAUGCAGUUGGCAGCCUUCUGGAGUUUCUGUUAAGUGGGUGGGAAGGGGAGAUGAGGCAUUGCUGAGAAGGGUUGGUUAUGCUCCUCCUCGUGCACAAAUGCUGUGGCACAGACCAGGGCUGAGCACUUGCACCCACUUUUUUGUUGGGGUUGGUGUUAGAGACAGUAGUAGAUGGAAUAAAACACACCUUCCCCUGUCCCUGUCUUCCCUGUAAAGAAUGGCUGUUGCUUCUUAUAGCAGAAGGAUUUUUGCAGAUGUGAUUAAAUUAAUGGUCUUUUUAUAAAUUUUAUUACCUUAAAAAUUUUAAUAUAAAAAGAACAUAUUUUGGGCCAGCACUGUGGCUCAGCAGGUGUUAACACCCUGGCCUGAAGCACUGGCAUCCCAUAUGGGCACCGGUUCUAGUCCCAGCUUCUCUGCUUCUGAUCUAGCCCCCUGCUAUGGCCUGGGAAGGCAGUAGAAGAUGGCUCAAGUCCUUGGGCCCCUGCACCCAUGUGGGAGACCCAGAGGAAGCUCCUGGCUUUGGUCUGGCCUCUCCUCUCUCUGUGUAACUCUUUCAAAUAAAAUAAAUCUAAAAAAAACCAAACCAGAUUUCAUGUAUUUCAGAGGUACAAUUCUAAGAAGAUAAGCAUACUUCCUCCGCUUCUUCCCUCAACCCCCCUCCUUCUUUCCAGUCUUUAAAAUUUUUUUUGCAAAAACAUAAUUUCAGUCUACUCUAUAAUCACAGGCUUAAUGCACCAUUAAUCAUAAUAUUCAAUAAGUAAAAAGUGUAAAGGCUACCGUUCCAUAGGAGAAUAAACUAAGGCUAAGACAAUCAAACACAAAGUGUCCUUUUUUUCCUAUACAUUUUUUUUGGUAUUCUUUCUAUAUUAACUACCACAUACCAGAGAAAACAUAGGGUAUUUGUCUUUUUGGGACUAAAAAUAUGGUGACAUUCUUCAAUGUUGUGGAAGGUCUUUAUUUCACCCUCAUUCAUAAAUGAGAGCUUUGCUGGGUAUAGUAUUCUGGUUUGAGUUUUUUUUCUCUUAGGACUUGGAAUAUAUCUCGUCAUUCUCUCUUAGCCUGUAGGAUUUCUUAAGGCUAAUUGGAGAUCCUCUGAAAGUAAUAUGGCAAUUCUCUUGUGCAUAUUUUAGAACUUUGUCUUUGUUUUACUGUGGAGAGCUUGACUAUAAUGUGUCGUGGUGAAGAUCUUUUAUGGUCAUGUCUGUUAGGAGUUCUGUUUGCUUCCUGUACUUGGAUGUCCCUUCUUUCUCUUGGUAGCAUCCCAUAAAUCUAACACUAUUUUUUAGUUUUUAAUUUCUUCUUCCUUUUUUUGGUCUGACUGUAAAAUUUCUAGAGAUUUGUCUUCUAACUUGGAUAUUCUUUUUUCUGCCUCACUAAGUCUGUUGUUAAGGCUUUCUGCCACAUUUUUUAUUUGUCUAUUGAAUUCUUCAUUUCCAAUAUUUCAUUUUAAUUUCUUUUUAAAAUCUCAAGUUUGUGGGAUAAACUUUCAUUCGGGUCAUGUAUGGAUUUCUUUAGUUCAUGAAUUUGCUUUUGAUUACUUCUAGGUAAUCCUGUGAUCAACUUUUUGAAAUCCAUAUCUGGAAUUGCAUCAAUCUCUUCAUCUUCACAUUCUAGUAUUGAAGUGUUGUGUUCUUUUGGGGGCAUCAUGUUGUCUUCCUUAUUCUUGUUUCUUGAAUUGCUGCAUUUAUUGUUAAGUGUCUAUGGUGAUACUUGUUCUCCCCACCCCCCCACUGGCUUUUAUGUUUGGACUAUGCCUCCAUGGCUUAGUGGAGUGUCUGCUCUUUCAGUGAAUACCCAGAGGCGUGUGUCAAAAAUCAAAUUUAACAGAUUUUUUUUUUUGAGGAACAAAAUACCAAAAUUUUAGGUAGAGGUAGGAUUGACAUUCCUGAUUUGCCUCUUCCAUUUUUUGUAGUUAAUAUUUUUUAAAAUUUUACCUUAGGUGUACAAAUUAAUGUAUUUCAUAUGUACAGAUUUAGGAACUUAGUCAUACUUUCCUCCCACUCCUCCCUCCCACUCAUGCUUCCACCCUUCCUCAACCUUCCUUUCCUGGUCCUACUCUUAAUUUUUACAAUGAUUUGCUUUUACUCUAUACUGAUAGGAUUAACCCUACACUAAGUAAAGAGUUCAACAAAUAAUAAGAAAAAACCCUGUUCCUUAACAGUAGAGACAAGGGCUGUAAAUAAUCAUCUAAUCUCAAAAUGUCCAUUUCACUCCAGUACAUUAUGUUUUAGGUACUCUAUUAAUUAUCCCUUAUCAGGGAAAACAUAUGAUGUCUGUCUUUUUGUGACUGGCUUAUUUCAUUAAAUAUAAUUAUUUCCAGUUGCAUCCAUUUUGUUGCAAAAGACAGGAUUUCUUUUUUUUUUUCCUUUACAGAGGUGUAGUACUCCAUAGUGUAUGAACACCACGAUAAUUUCUUUAGUCACCAGUUGAUGGACAUCUAGGUUGAUUCCAUAUCUUAGCUAUUGUGAACUGAGCUGCUAUAAACAUGAGGGUACAGAUAACUCUUUCAUAUGCUGAUUUAUUUUGGUUUGGGUAAACUCCCAGGAGUGGGAUGGCUAGGUCAUAUGGUAGGUCUAUAUUCAGAUUUCUGAGGUAUCUCCAUACUGUUUUCCACAGUGAGCUGCACCAGUUUACAUUUCCACCAACAGUAGAUUAGUUACCAUUAGGGUACCUCACCAGCAUUUAUUGUUUGACUUCUGUAUGAGAGCCAUUCUAACUAGGGUGAGAUAAAACCUCAUUGUGAUUUUGAUUUGCAUUUCUUUGAAGGCCAGUGAUCCUGAGCGUUUUUUCAACUGUCUGUUGGCCAUUUGAAUUUUCUUUUGAAAAAUGUCUGUUUAAAUCCUUUGUCCAUUUCUUAACUGGAUUGCUUGUUUUGCUGUUGUUGAAUUUGAGUUCUUUACAGAUCCUGGAUAUUAAUCCCUUGUCAGUUGCAUUGUUUGCAAAUAUUUUUUCCCAUUCUGUCAGUUGCCCCUUCAUUUUGCUGAGUGUUUGUUUUGCAGUGCAGAACUUUUUCAGGUUAAUGUAAUCCCAUUUGUCUAUUUUUGCUGUGGUUGCCUAUGCUUCUGCAGUUCUUUUUCAAGAAGCCCUUGCCUAUGCCAAUGUCCUUCAGAGUUUUCCUGUAGUAAUUUGAUGGUAUUAGAUAAUAUUUUGGUCCUUGAUCCAUUUUGAGUUGAUUUUUGUAUAAGGUGUAAGGUAGGGGUCUUAUUUCACAUCUCUGCAUGCAGAGAUCCAUUUUAUUUUUUUUAAUUUAUAUUUUAUUUUAUUUUAUUUAAUGAACAUAAAUUUCCAAAGUACAGCUUAUGGAUUAUAAUAGCUCCCCCCCCUUAA